AUCUUAGUCCUUAAUUAUAGUGAAAGACCCCUGGAGUGGGGAGACCCUCACUCAAGUCUUGGGAUGAUGCGACCCCCCAAGAACUCAUGUAAGACC
rnacentral:pre_miRNA from 14 species